ACACCGUCAAUAUGUUUGUUCUUUACUUUUUUUUUUUUUGCCCUGUUGAAACUUGAAACCCAUUCAAACCAAAAUCAGUCUCAAUCUCCUCCACCAAAUCCAUAAACCCCAACAGGAUUACUUAUCGAGUCUGUGGCUCCCUCCAACGACGGCAAGAAAAGAACACUCCGGCAACUACCUAUCGAACCGCGUAGUCAACAAGAAAACAAUACUCUGGCAACUUUUACCUCGCCAAACCUGUCUUCUUUGUUGGACUUCUUCAAUUCGAACCAAAUCUGUGUUCCUAGUACCCAGGAUUGAGCUCCUUCAAGUUUAGGCCUGCGUUUCUUCUGCUCUGAGAUACAUUUUCGAAAGUCUUAGUGAGGUUUUUGAAGUAAAAUACAACAAUGGAUUCAUCACAGAGUGCAGUAACAGCAGGGACUGGUGGUGGUGGCAAUGGGAUGAUGAUCUCUCAAACCAAUGAUACGGCAGCUACACCUGCUGUGGACAAUCCAAAGCAAAACCUGAACCAUGUCAUCAACUCUAUUCAGAAAACUUUAGGCCUUCUUCACCAGCUCUACCUUACUGUCUCUUCCUUCAAUGCUGCCUCUCAGCUUCCUCUUCUCCAUCGCCUCAAUUCUCUUGUUACGGAGCUUGACAACAUGGUUAAAUUAGCUGAGAAGUGCAACGUUCAAAUUCCUAUGGAAGUGCUAAAUUUGAUUGAUGAUGGAAAGAAUCCAGAUGAAUUCACAAGGGAUGUCAUAAACAGCUGUAUUGCCAAGAAUCAGAUUACCAAAGGCAAAACUGAUGCCUUUAAGGGUUUACGCAAACAUCUUCUGGAAGAACUUGAACAAACAUUUCCUGAUGAAGUUGACUCUUAUAGAGAGAUACGUGCAGCCUCUGCUGCUGAAUCAAAGCGGCUUGCACAGGCACAAAGCAUGUUACCAAAUGGAGAUCUGAAGGUCAAAUCCGAGCUGUAGGUGUUCAUCAAGGGAAUCCUAAUUCAGGGGAUAUAUAGACAGUUCCAGUGUAAUAUAUGCAAGUAAGAGAGUCCAUAUGCAGACUCUUGCAUGGCCAUUCUUAAAUCCAUCCAUAAAGCCACAUCAAAUUUAAAGAAGGUUGCACCGACACGGCAUUUUUGGCGUCGUGUUGGUGUCCGACACGUAUCGGAUACCGGAACCGGUACGAUUCGCCGGACUCCGGUGUCCGAGCAGUGUCUAUUUUUUUUUUUCUCACUUCUCCGACGUGGCGCCGACACGGCUCCGACAUGUCCGACAUGGCUCCGACACGUCUGACAUGCCAGCAAUGCAAAAAAAAAAAAGAAGAAAAAAGAAGAAGGAAAUCAUAGAUUUUGAUAGAUGGACUUACCAAUACCAUUGAUUUUGUGAUAUACCCUAAAACAACAAGUCUGAGAAGUCCCGAAACCCACAUCUCAAGUUCUCACUUCUCAACCCACCCACCCACCCUCCCUUCGACCUCUGCUCUUCCUGCUGCUGCCGCUGCCCUCUGUCCCUUGCUGGAGCUAGAUCGAGCCGAUCAGCAAGCUCCAUAGACGUCGAUGCCGUGCUUGUCCCUUCCGAUCUCUCUCUCUUGUUGUCAGGUCCAACCUCUUUAAGCUUCUCUCUGUUUUUUUUUUUUUUUUUUUUUCCCCAGAUAUUUGGCCAUUUGGUUUGGGUGAAUGACUUAAUGGGUUACUUAAAUACUCACUUGUUAGUUUGUUACUGCCAUAUAAGUUAUACCUUAUAACUUAUAUAUAUUUUUUUAUGUUUUUACUUUGAUGUUGAAUGUAGCAUAUUUAAACUUUUGGUUUGUACUCUAAACAUUUUAUGUGUAUUAUUGUACUACUUUGGGUGUUAGUUUACU